rnacentral:rRNA from 1 species
GUGUCAGCCGCCGCGGUACUACGUAGGGUGCAAGCGUUGUCCGGAAUUAUUGGGCGUAAAGAGCUCGUAGGCGGUCUGUCGCGUCGGCUGUGAAAACCCGAGGCUCAACCUCGGGCCUGCAGUCGAUACGGGCAAACUAGAGUACUGCAGGGGAGACUGGAAUUCCUGGUGUAGCGGUGAAAUGCGCAGAUAUCAGGAGGAACACCGGUGGCGAAGGCGGGUCUCUGGGCAGUAACUGACGCUGAGGAGCGAAAGCGUGUGGAGCGAACAGGAUUAGAUACCCUGGUAGUCCACGCCGUAAACGUUGGGCGCUAGGUGUGGUGGCCAUUCCACGGUCUCCGUGCCGCAGCUAACGCAUUAAGCGCCCCGCCUGGGGAGUACGGCCGCAAGGCUAAAACUCAAAGGAAUUGACGGGG